rnacentral:rRNA from 1 species
UCGCCUGUUUUAUCAAAAACAUCGCCUCUUGACUAAAAUAUGAGAGGUCUAGCCUGCCCAGUGACAAUGUUAAACGGCCGCGGAACCCUAACCGUGCGAAGGUAGCACAAUCACUUGUUCUUUAAAUUAGGACUAGUAUGAACGGCCUCACGAGAGCUAUACUGUCUCCCCCUUUUAAUCAGUAAAACUGAUCUCCUCGUGAAGAAGCGAGGAUACCCCUAUAAGACGAGAAGACCCCAUGGAGCUUUAAACUUGUACCACUGCCUUCCCCACACCAAUUAACCCAGGCAAAUAAUGAUUACAAGUCUUUCGGCUGGGGCGACCACGGAGAAAAACUAAACCUCCACGACGAAAGGAGCAAUCCUAAUUGAAGAGCUACUGCUCAAAGAAUCAACAAAUUGACAUAUUGACCCAAACAUUUUUGAUCAACGAACCAAGUUACCCUGGGGAUAACAGCGCAAUCCAUUUUUAGAGACCCCAUCAACAAAUGGGCUUACGACCUCGAUGUUGGAUCAGGGUAUCCUAGUGGUGCAGCCGCUACUAAAGGUUCGUUUGUUCAACGAUUCAAACCCUACGUGAUCUGA